rnacentral:rRNA from 1 species
AUUGAACGCUGGCGGCAUGCCUUACACAUGCAAGUCGAACGGCAGCACGGGAGCAACCCUGGUGGCGAGUGGGGAACGGGUGAGUAAAGUAUCGGAACGUGCCCAGUCGUGGGGGAUAACGUAGCGAAAGUUACGCUCAUACCGCAUACGAUCUAUGGAUGAAAGCGGGGGAUCGCAAGACCUCGCGCGAUUGGAGCGGCCGAUAUCAGAUUAGGUAGUUGGUGGGGUAAAGGCUCACCAAGCCGACGAUCUGUAGCUGGUCUGAGAGGACGACCAGCCACACUGGGACUGAGACACGGCCCAGACUCCGACGGGAGGCAGCAGUGGGGAAUUUUGGACAAUGGGCGAAAGCCUGAUCCAGCCAUGCCGCGUGCAGGAUGAAGGCCUUCGGGUUGUAAACUGCUUUUGUACGGAAUGAAAAGGUUUGGGCUAAUAAGCUGAGCUCAUGACGGUACCGUAAGAAUAAGCACCGGCUAACUACGUGCCAGCCGCCGCAGUAA